UUAAAUCAGUUAUGGUUCCUUAGAUCGUACUUUUCUACUUGGAUAACUGUGGCAAUUCUAGAGCUAAUACAUGCAGCAGAGCUCCGACCUUCGGGGACGAGCGCUUUUAUUAGACCAAGACCAAUCGGACUUCGGUCCGUACGCCACGGCGACUCUGGAUAACUUUGGGCUGAUCGCACGAUCUCGCAUCGGCGAUAUUUCUUUCAAGUGUCUGACUUAUCAACUUUCGAUGGUAGUCUAUGCGCCUACCAUGGUCGUAACGGGUAACGGGGAAUCAGGGUUCGAUUCCGGAGAGGGAGCCUGACAAACGGCUACCACAUCCAAGGAAGGCAGCAGGCGCGCAAAUUACCCACUCCCGGCACGGGGAGGUAGUGACGAAAAAUAACAAUACGGGACUCUCUUGAGGCCCCGUAAUUGGAAUGAGUACACUCUAAAUCCUUUAACGAGGAUCUAUUGGAGGGCAAGUCUGGUGCCAGCAGCCGCGGUAAUUCCAGCUCCAAUAGCGUAUAUUAAAGUUGUUGCGGUUAAAAAGCUCGUAGUUGGAUCUCAGUUACAGACGGGCGGUCCAUCUUACGGUGGUUACUGCCCGGCCUGAACGUCCUGCCGGUUUUUCUCUAGGUGCUCUUCACUGAGUGUCUAGAGUG
rnacentral:rRNA from 1 species